UACGGAGGGUGCAAACGUUGCUCGGAAUCAUUGGGCGUAAAGCGCACGUAGGCGGCCUGUUAAGUCGGGUGUGAAAGCCCUCGGCUCAACCGAGGAAGUGCAUUCGAUACUGCCGUGCUUGAGGACUGGAGAGGAGACUGGAAUUUACGGUGUAGCGGUGAAAUGCGUAGAUAUCGUAAGGAAGACCAGUGGCGAAGGCGGGUCUCUGGACAGUUCCUGACGCUGAGGCACGAAGGUCAGGGGAGCAAACGGG
rnacentral:rRNA from 1 species